rnacentral:rRNA from 1 species
UACGUAGGGUGCAAGCGUUGUUCGGAUUUAUUGGGCGUAAAGAGCUCGUAGGCGGUUCGGUAAGUCAGCUGUGAAAUCUCCACGCUCAACGUGGAGGGGUCAGCUGAUACUGCCGUGACUUGAGUCUGGUAGGGGAGUGCGGAAUUCCCGGUGUAGCGGUGAAAUGCGCAGAUAUCGGGAGGAACACCAGUGGCGAAGGCGGCACUCUGGGCCAGUACUGACGCUGAGGAGCGAAAGCGUGGGGAGCGAACAGG